UUGGAAAAAUUCAGGUAUUUUACAACUGAUAAACCAUCAAGUUCCUGGAGGAGUGGUGCUGGCUACAUAUCAAAGGACGUGCUUUAGAAGGGUUUGCCAUGCCUACAGGAGGAUUCCCUUACUCUUUAUGAUUUAAGUUUCUGAAAUUUCUGUUUCAGAGUUUUAUUAAACACGCCGUGUGUAACCUUAGUGUUUAAAUUCAUGAUUUUUUAAUUGCUGACUCUAGCAUCGUUAAUUUAUUAUCAGUGAAGGAUACAUUGAUAGCAGUAAUUAUGUCACUGUUUGUUCAGAAUUUCUCCAAGUAACUGACAUCACCUCUUCUAUUCUGAGGAAGUGCUUGAAUUACCAUAUGCUGCAUGGUAGAUGUGGUAGAAGAAGCGUACACCCCUGUGUAUUGCGGCUGAUAGAUGCGUAGGAGCCACCAGCAAUUGACCUCGGAGAUUGAUUGCAAUAGUGUGCUCAGGCUGGACAAAUAUCCGACUUUGUUGACUAGAGUCUGAAGUAGGGCAGCAUGGUAUUUUUUAAGCUUUGCCCUCAAUUCUGUGUCUGAGAAAGUUGUGCAUACGUCUCUCUUCUUAGCAAUGCGUGUUAAAGUCUUUUUUCCAUAAUUCUCGCUUCUAAGUGCAUUACAACCUUGUUUGUACUAUAUAAGGCACACCGAAGCAGUUCAUAUGUAUGUAGUAGUCUGUCUGGUUAUAUGGUUUUAAUUUUGUACACUUAUGGAA